GACGAACGCUGACGGCGUGCUUAACACAUGCAAGUCGAAGGGAGUGGCGAACGGGUGAGUAACACGUGAGUAACCUGCCCUUUUCUUUGGGAUAAGCCUGGGAAACUGGGUCUAAUACUGGAUGGAUUGGGCUGGGCUCGCGGUUUAUCAGCUUGUUGGUUGGUUGAUGGCUUACCAAGGAUUUGACGGGUAGCCGGCCUGAGAGGGUGGUCGGUCACACUGGGACUGAGAUGACGCCCAGACGCUUCAGGGAGGCAGCAGUGGGGGAUAUUGCACAAUGGACGAAAGUCUGAUGCAGCGACGUCGUGUGGGGGAUGAAGGCCUUCGGGUUGUAAACUCCGUUCGCCCGCGGAAUGGUAGUGGGUAAAGAAGCGCCGGCUAACUACGUGCCAGCAGCCGCGGUAAUAC
rnacentral:rRNA from 1 species